UUGAAGAAAAAUCAGUGCAGCUUUGGCGAGAAAGCGACCCCUGAAGAUCAUUCCUCAUCGAAGAACCCAUCGGCAGCCCUUCCCGUCGGUGUUACCCCCACCUCUGCAUCGUCUUCUCUAAAUGACCCCUGCUCUUUUUAUCGACCAUUAACAUAGACAGUAACAGAGACGACCCCCCUGAAGCUUCUUCCUCUUGACCCACCUUCUGAACCUCUUGAAAUCGCUUUAAGAAGCAAGCGUAGUAGAGAACAAAAGACCACCCUUCUAGCGCUAACUCCUCUUCGUUUAACAACUGAAAUCAGUGACCAUUUCCACCACAACUAGAUCUUGUUACACGAGAGAUCUGGCCAAUUUUGAGGUCUGGUCUUAAUUACACUGAGGUUACCGGUGAAGCUCUGGUCCUGCAGGUCGAGGAUGUCAUCUGGUCAGUGCUUUUAGGAAUUGUUGGAACUGUAAAAGUUCGAUCUUCUUUCAGAUUAUAUGUAAGUGCUUGAAUUUAUAAUUUGUUUGUUUUGGUAUUUAACUUGUUCUGAAUAGUUAUUUCAUUACUACUUAUUCUUCGAUUUUGUUUUGCUCUACUAUUUUGUUUGAAUACUUGGUUUGGUAUCAUUUCAUGUGAGAUUGCGCUUAAUUCCUCCACGAAGGUAUGAUAUUAUAAAAUGGUAUAUGCUUCAGUAGAUGAAGUUUGAGACACUGAGUAAAGACAAAAUUUGAAUGUCUCUGUUGUCUUAUUUGUGCCUGUGAUGAGCAGCAAUACUGGAAGGGACUCACAUAUUGGUAAAUCCCACAUAAUGAAUUCGAUUACGCUCCACUACUGUCAUGAAUAAUUCUCCAGAUGCUUGGAUCAUAUGCAGUUCAAACAUAUUGUUGUGAAAGCUGCUAAUGUGGUCUUUAUGAAUAUAUAUUGAGUAUUUGAGUUUUAUGUUUUAUUUAGUUAUCAUUUCUCGUUAUUUCCUUCUUUUCAGUUGGGAAUUUGCACAAAUUGAAUUGUGUCAUUUUUUGCCUCUUAGUUGUUUAGGAAAAACUUACUCUUGGCAUGUUACUUUGUAGCUAGCUAGUGUGACAGACCAUCAAUUUUUGGUGUUAUGGGUUACUUAGCAACGUAAAUAUUGUGUUUCCUUUUACUGCUCUAUUCCUUCAUCUUGGCCUUUGAUUUUCGUUGUGAUGUGAUUGUAAAUAUCAUUACGCAUUACUGUUAAAGCGAGAAUACGAAGAGAUGGGGUAUUUGUUUUUCAUGAAAUGUGCUUGUGUUUUUUUCAUUUGGAAUGAAAAUAUUAAUUGUACUAGAUUUUGACUAUUCUGUCUCUUAAGUGCAAGCGAUAUUUCUUCAAUUCACGCCUACCGCAUAUGGGUAGGCGAACCUUUAGGCACAUAAUUAGAUCAUCACAACAACAGGUAAUGUUCCCAUGGC
rnacentral:lncRNA from 1 species